rnacentral:tRNA from 2 species
GCCGGAGUGGCGGAAUAGGCAGACGCAAGGGACUUAAAAUCCCUCGGGUGAAUAGCCCGUGUGGGUUCGAUUCCCACCUCCGGCACCA